UACAAGUUUACAGAUCACAAGGUCACUGAAAUAAAUCACUAUGUGAAAAAAAACAGCUAUGAAAUAGUUGAAGAAUUUUCCUUCUAGUUUAAAGGAAAACCUGGAAAAUAUUUUCAUCUAUAUGUCUAGCAAUCUCCUUAUUCAACAACAUUUCACAACAGGGAGCUGUAUCAUUCAUUUUGGAAAAAAGCAUAAGGAGUACUAGAUAACAAAGGGCCAAAUAAAACAACAGUUUAUGGGAAAUGUGCCACCAACUGACAAGAGGAGAUGAAGAGUUUCUAUACGUCAAUAACCAGUUCUCUUCAUUCACUUACCCAUUUAUUUAUUCAACAACAACUUAUUGAGC
ensembl:lncRNA PLS1-AS1 PLS1 antisense RNA 1